AGCAGACUCUAUUUGUUCUGUCUCUCUAACCCCAGGAUUUCCGGCAGUUAUAGUUGGAUUAAUAGCAGCUAUAAGACCAAGUACCUUUGAUAUGGGAAAGGCUCAGUAUGAGGACAUCACGUGUGGCUUAUUAAACUUUACCGCUGAGAUACAACAAACCAGAUGCUGGAUAAACGGAAGUCUGUGGAUUUAUAAAGGACCCAUCUUAGCCAUACUUGUGGCAAAUAUGGUAUUGUUUGCGAUACUUCUUCGU